UUAAAAUGUAAAAUGUGCUCGAUCUUAUCUGAUGUUGGAAGCUAAACAGGUCUAGCUUGGUUAGUACUUGGAUGAGAUUCUGUCUGGGAAUAUGGUGCAC
rnacentral:rRNA from 1 species